UGGAGGGGCAGAGAUGGGCGCCGCGAGGUGUCCAGUGCAGUAACGCGACCAAUCCCGGAGAAGCCAGCAGGAGCCCCAGGGAGAGUUCUCUUUUCUUUGUGAAGGGCAGGGCGUCCUGGAAUGGGUUCACCCCGAGAGGGGCCUGAGCCUUGGAAAGCGUCGUGGUUCUGGCGGCCUCCGGUGAGCUCUCGCUGGCCCUUGCAAAUCCGGGGAAGAGGGUGUAAAUCUCGCACCGGGUGGUAUCCAUAUCUGCAGCAGGUCUCCAGGGUGAACAGCCUCUGGCAGAUUAGAACAAUGUAGGUAAGGGAAGUCAGCAAGCCGGAUCCCUAACUUCGGGAUAAGGAUUGGCUCUAAGGACUGGGUUGGUCGGGCUGGGGCGCUAAGGGGGGCUGGGUGCGUGCAGCAGCUGGACGAGGCGUCGCCGCCCCCCCACGCCCGGGGCACGCCCCUCGCAGCCCUCCCCCGCCUCACCCCACGCUCUGUUCGCUCCGUCCCCCGCGCCCUCCCUCUCCCCGUCCUCCCCCCUCCCCGGGGGAGUGCCGCGUGGUGGGUGGAAGGGGCGGGCAGAGGGGCGGCUGCGGCGGGGGCCUCGGCGGCGGGGGCACGGUCCCCCGUGAGGGGGGCCCGGGCACCAGUGGGGCUGGCUGCUGCGGCGACUCUGGACGUGAGCCGGGCCCUUCCCGUGGAUCGCCCCAGCUGCGGCGGGCGUCGCAGCUACCCCCAGGGAGACCGACGGGCACUGGCGCGCCCGUCUCCUCGUCGCUCCGCGAUGUCGCGCGCUACUGCGGGGUCUGGGAGCGGUCGGGCGGCGCCUGUGGGCGGGCGGCGGGACGGGGCAGUUCCUUCCCCCACCUCCCCCCACGGCCCCAUCCGCCCCCUCCGUUCCCCCCUCUCCUCGCCACAGCGACAGCGGCAGCGGCGCCGGUCCACCCCGCCAGGUCCACCCCCAGGGCCCCGGUUCCGCCCAGCGCUUUGCCUCCGCCAGCGCCUAGAAGCUGACUUCGAACUGGUGCGGACUGGGGCAAUCCGACUGUUUAAUUAAAACAAAGUAUUGCAAAGGCCCGCGGUGGGUGUUGACGCUAUGUGAUUUCUGCCCAGUGCUCUGAAUGUCAAAGUGAAGAAAUUCAAUGAAGCACAGGUAAACCACGGGAGUAACUAUGACUCUCUUAAGGUAGCCAAAUGCCUCGUCAUCUAAUUAGUGACGCACAUGAAUGGAUGAAGGAGAUUCCCACCGUCCCUACCUACUAUCCAGCGAAACCACAGCCAAAGGAACAGGCUUGGCGGAAUCAGCAGGGAAAGAAGACCCUGUUGAGCUUGACUCUAGUCUGCCAUGGUGAAGAGACAUGAGAAGUGUAGAAUAAGUGGGAGGCCCCCAGUGCCCCCCAUCCCCGCGAGGGGGCGGGGCGGGGUCCACUGGCCUUGCGGGCCGCUGGUGAAAUACCAUUACUCUGAUCAUUUUUUCACUGACCCCGUGAGGCGGGGUGGGGGGGGGGGGUGGCAAGCCCCAAGGGGCUCUCGCUUCUGGCGCCAAGCGCCCGGCCGCGCGCCUGGCCUGGGGUGACCCACUCCAGGGACAGUGCCAGGUGGGGAGUUUGACUGGAGUGGUACACCUGUCAAACGGUAACGCAGGUGUCCUAAGGCAAGCUCAGAGAGGACAGAAAACUCCCAUGGAGCAGAAGGGCAAAAUCUCACUUGAUCUUGAUUUUCAGUAAGAAUACAGACGUGAAAGCGGGGCCUCACGUUCCUUCUGACCUUUUGGGUUUUAAGCAGGAGGUGUCCGAAAAGUUACCACAGGGAUAACUGUCUUGUGUCAGCCAAGAGUUCAUAGGGGCGUCACUUUUUCAUCCUUCGAUGUCGGCUCUUCCUAUCAUUGUGAAGCAGAAUUCACCAAGCAUUGGAUUGUUCACCCACUAAUAGGGAGCGUGAGCUGAGUUUAGACCCUCUUGAGACAGGUUAGUUUUACCCUACUGAUGAUAUGUUGUUGCCAUGGUAAUCCUGCUCAGUAGGAGAGGAACCUCAGGUUCAGACAUUUGGUGUAUGUGCUUGGCUGAGGAGCCAGUGGGGUGAAGCUACCAUCUGUGGGAUUAUGACUUAACGUCUCUAAGUCAGAAUCCUGCCCAGGCAGAAUGAUAGGGCAGCCACGUGGAGCCUCGGUUGGCCUGGGAUAGCCGGUUCCCUGCCUCUCCCUGCUGGUGGGCCACCCCAGCCUGUGCGAGGCACACCCCACCGCGCGCCAGGACGGGUCCGGUGCAGAGUGCCCUUUGUCCUGGGAAACGGGGUGCGGCCGGAAAGGCGGCCGCCCCGUCGCCUGUCAUGCACCGCAAGUUCAUGGGGAACCUGGCACUAAACCAUUCAUAGAAGACCUGCUUCCGGGUUGGGGUUUCCCACUUAGCAGAGCAGCUCCCUCGCUGCGAUCUAUUGAAAGUCAGCCCUCGACACAAGGGUUUGU